CCUACGGGUGGCAGCAGUGAGGAAUAUUGGUCAAUGGGCGCGAGCCUGAACCAGCCAAGUCGCGUGAGGGAAGACGGCCCUACGGGUUGUAAACCUCUUUUGUAGGGGAGUAAAGCGAGGCACGUGUGCCUUUUUGCGUGUACUCUAUGAAUAAGCAUCGGCUCACUCCGUGCCAGCAGCCGCGGUAAUUCGGCGGGUGCAAGGGUUAUCCGGAUUUCCUGGGUGUAAAGGGGGCGGCGGCGGGGGUGCAAGGCAGGAGUGAAAGCCCGGGGGUCAACCCCGGUAAUGCUGUUGAACCUGCGUGGCUGGAGUGCGGGAGGGGCAGGCGGAAUGCGUGGUGUAGCGGUGAAAUGCGUAGAUAUCAGGAGGAACACCGGUGGCGAAGGCGGCCUGCUGGACUGACACUGACGUUGAGGCCCGAAAGCGUGGGGAGCGAACAGGAUUAGAUACCCGAGUAGUC
rnacentral:rRNA from 1 species